rnacentral:lncRNA from 1 species
CCUGCCGAGGAAUUCUACACUGUCACACUUAUACCACGUCAUCAAUAACAAACCAAUCACAUCCCUUCUUUUCAAACAAAAGUACAAUAAAAAUAUUUUUUUACAAUUGUGAUGGGACAUAUAUCUCUAAAAGAAAAAUUUUGAUUGGUUUGUGACGCCACGUCACCAAUGCACCCGAUGCAUUCUAGAAUUUUUCGCCCCUGCCCCUCUAGCUCUGUGCCGCGUGGAUAACAAAGUGAGGAUUCAUUAUAUGUAGAGUAAAUGAGUAAUAAUUCAAUACACCAUGUAAAUUUUGAUCAUUUAUUUUUUAAAUAGAUGGUUGAAAUAUAAUAUGAUUAUAAAGGCGACAUACUAUUCUGGCAUAGGUACCAUUCACCAGGUACCUAUUUAAAAGGUAUUUUGGUUUUAGAAAAAUAUUUUGGUGUACAAAACUAGUUUUAUCCAACUAAAAAUACUAUAACCUUCUCAAAUACCUACAAUAAUAGUUGGACUUUAAAUUACAACUAAACUGUAAAUUUAAAUACAAAUCAACAUAAAAAACUUAAUUAUAAAUCAAAUUCAACUUUUAAAUAUAAAACAUAAAUUUUAAAUAAAACUUUCAGUUCAAAUUCAAAAUUUUAAUUUAAAUCAAAAAUUAAAAUUUGGCUUUCAGAUUAAAAN